rnacentral:tRNA from 1 species
AGGGAUAUAACUCAGUGGUAGAGAGCAUGCUCAGAAUGCAUGAGUUCUUGGGUUCAAUUCCUAGUACCUUCA